GAUGAACGCUGGCGGCGUGCCUAAUACAUGCAAGUCGAGCGAACAGACGAGGAGCUUGCUCCUCUGACGUUAGCGGCGGACGGGUGGGUAACACGUGGAUAACCUACCUAUAAGACUGGGAUAACUUCGGGAAACCGGAGCUAAUACCGGAUAAUAUAUUGAACCGCAUGGUUCAAUAGUGAAAGACGGUUUUGCUGUCACUUAUAGAUGGAUCCGCGCCGCAUUAGCUAGUUGGUAAGGUAACGGCUUACCAAGGCAACGAUGCGUAGCCGACCUGAGAGGGUGAUCGGCCACACUGGAACUGAGACACGGUCCAGACUCCUACGGGAGGCAGCGGUAGGGAAUCUUCCGCAAUGGGCGAAAGCCUGACGGAGCAACGCCGCGUGAGUGAUGAAGGUCUUCGGAUCGUAAAACUCUGUUAUUAGGGAAGAACAAAUGUGUAAGUAACUAUGCACGUCUUGACGGUACCUAAUCAGAAAGCCACGGCUAACUACGUG
rnacentral:rRNA from 1 species